rnacentral:rRNA from 1 species
UACGGAGGAUGCGAGCGUUAUCCGGAUUUAUUGGGUUUAAAGGGUGCGUAGGCGGACGCUUAAGUCAGCGGUAAAAUUGCGGGGCUCAACCUCGUCGAGCCGUUGAAACUGGGGAUCUAGAGUGUGCGAGAGGUAUGCGGAAUGCGUGGUGUAGCGGUGAAAUGCAUAGAUAUCACGCAGAACCCCGAUUGCGAAGGCAGCAUACCGGUGCACAACUGACGCUCAGGCACGAAAGCGUGGGUAUCGAACAGG